GACGGAGGGGGCAAGCGUUUUCCGGAAUCACUGGGCGUAAAGCGCGUGUAGGCGGUCGCGUUCGUCGGUGCUGAAAGCGCCCGGCUUAACCGGGCGAGGCGUGCCGAUACGAUGCGACUGGAGGCAGGCAGAGGGCGGCGGAAUUCCGGGUGUAGCGGUGAAAUGCGUAGAGCUCCGGAGGAACGCCGGUGGGGGAGCCGGCCGCCUGGGCCUGACCUGACGCUGAGACGCGACAGCGUGGGGAGCAAACCGG
rnacentral:rRNA from 1 species